CAUCAACAGCAGCAUCUCACUCUUUAGGUUCACUAAUGCUCCUCAAACUGCUUUCCUGGGCUUUAUUCCUCCGGAUUCCAGAAGAAAUGUUGUGGAGGCUGAAGUCCAGAUAGGCUUAGUUUCGUGGUGUAAGUAAAGCCAGCCAGAACUCCAGGUUCUCCUCGCUGAACUCCGUCUUCAAGAAGGCACGGAAGGCAGCUACCCCAUCUGUGGGUGCAGAAAGAAAUGGGAGAAAAGACAGAUAGGAAGAUGCUUAAGAUCAAAGAUUGCAGAUGAAGGAGACACAAUAGCAAUUUGUCAGCAUCCUCACUAGGCAAGCCUGUUGCUCCUCCACACCUAAUGACACACAGCUACUCUAGGAGCAAGCCAUGUUUCUUGUCCAUGGGCCAGCAUGCGGUAUCAGGGAGAAAUGUUUAAAUCCCAUAGUGACAACAGUGGUCAGUUCCGAUUAAACCCUCAGAGUUUACUGCCUUUCCACUAAUGCCAAGUUGGCUGAACUCCAAGUCUGUGAGUAAGCCAAGGUAAUAGGCACUAUAUACUUCUAUACCCUAAGCUGAGUCCACACCAGACAGAAGACGCAGGCAGUCGUAAGACAAACUGGAUGGGAAUGGGAAUGUCUCAGGCCAAGCCUUUACCACUAUCAGAGAAAUAUCCAACAGAAAUCCAGUCUGUACUACACCCUGCUGCAUGGAUAAUGUUCUCUGUCUCUCAGAAAAAUCUUUGAA
rnacentral:lncRNA from 1 species